rnacentral:misc_RNA from 1 species
CAACCCUCAAGCAUUGCUUGGUGUUGGGCCUCUUGCCAGCGAUGGCAGGCCCUAAAGCUAGUGGCGGCGCCGCUGGGUCCUGAGCGUAGUAAUUCUCUCGCUACUGGGCUUCGGUGAGCUUCCUGCCAGCAACCCCAAUUUUCUAUGG